rnacentral:lncRNA from 1 species
UUUUCCAUUCUGAACAUACACAGACUCAAGAUUCCCUCCUUCACGUAUUCCCACCCAUCAAAGCUUUCAUUUUCAAAUGCUCUCUACAACUCUCACUCUCCCAGUCCUCUUCUGAACCUGCUGUUGCUUUGUGCGGCCUGUUGGUGUGCGGCGGGUGGCGGUUCGGUGAAUGUGUGGCGGUCCAGCGCGGUGCAGAGAGGUGUAGACAUUGGUUUCGUUCUUUUCGUUUCUUCUAUUUUUUUUAAUGUAUGUAAUGUGUAGGAUUUGGUAGCUUUCUCUAUUAUUGGUAUUUGGUUGGUGUGUUUGUUGAGGAGUAUGUGGUCUGCUGUUGAGUUCUGUAUUAUUUGUGUGCUCUGUGUUGUGUGGAUCGAAGAAGAAGACGUCCAGGCACUGAAACGGACCAUUUCCUAUUUUUAUGUUUUUAGUUUAUUUUAUAAGUAAUUAUAUUUUAACUUUUUAUUUUCAAUUAAUUUUGUUACGUUUUUAAUUUUUUUUNUUUUAUUAGUUUAUUGUAUUUAUAAUUAAUUUAUAAAGUAUUUAAAUUUUAUUUUA